AAGGCUCAGGUGUCAGAUAAGUUACUUUUGGAGGCUCGGGGAAGGAUGUCGGCUGUAAGGCUAUGCCUUACACUUGGAAGGAAGGCUUAAUUCUUUUACAAGAGAGGGUGUAUGUACCUUCUGGGUCUAAACUGAGAGAGAAUAUUCUUGAUGAGGCACAUACAUCUGCUAAUGCUAUGCACUCAGGUGAGAUGAAUAUGUAUUGAACGCUUCGCUCUCAUUACUGGUGGUCAGGCAUCAAGAAACAGGUGAUACAUCACGUGGCUAGUUGUGUGGUGUGUGAGAAGGCGAAGUUCGGUCAUCAGGCAUUAGGAGGGUUUCUUCAACUCCUAUCUAUACUGGUGUGGAAGUUCGAGGAUAUCACGAUGGACUUCUUUACUGGUUUUCCCCUGGUCAAUGGGAAAGACGCAGUUUGGGUCAUAGUGGACCGCUCGACCAAGGUGGCUCACUUUAUUCUCAUCCGGUUUAAGCCAGAUUUAGAUAGGCUUGGCAACGGGAAGGUUCGGAGAUGGUUAUGGCAUACUUAUUACCCAUCCGCUUUUGUGGCGGUUAUUAACCAUCACCAUCCCCGUUUCAAUAUCGGUGACAAAAUUAAUUCCAUCAUCAUACCCAUGCGGUUAACGUUAUAACCACUCUAUGCUAUGAAAAAAAAAAUCAAAAUGCAUACACUUUAAUUCAUCUCUAAAGUGGUGGAUGAGAUACUUUUCAUCGAAGAAUAAUGAUGGGAAACGUGGAGACGAAGAGAUAUCGUCAAAAUCGAAAACGACAAAUGAGAUAGUUUUGAGGAAGGAAUGAGUAAAUGGAUUAGAUUUAGUUUUCUUGAUAAAUUUCAUGUACAUUUAGGUUAUCUAGUGGGUGUAUUAGGCUCAUGUAUUGACGGGUAAAUGUUGGUUAUAUAACGGGUCGGUGAUGGUUAUGGGUAACAUUACGGUGAUGGUGCGGAUUUUACAAAAUCCAUGACCUGACCUUACCCAUUCCUAGUUGUUAACGGUUAUAACCGUAACCUCAAAAUACCCAGUCAACGCGGUUAAUUACCGUCAAACUCGGUGAGGUUAUGGUCGGCUAAGCGGUUAAGCGGUCAAAAUUGUCAAGCCUAAAUGUAGAGGAGCUAACAAGGUUGUAUGUAGAGCAUAUUAUGGGGUUGUAUGGAGUUCCCAAGACGAUUGUAUUGGACCAGAACCCUAGUUUCACCUCAUAUUUCUGAAAGGGUUUGCAUUGAUGCUUUGGGAGCAAAGCUGAAUUUCUCUAUAAAUUACCACCCACAGGCAGAUGGUUGGUCGGAGCGGACCAUUCUGACCUUGGAGGAGUUGCUAUGCUCAUGUGUACUGUAGUUCAAGGACCCUUGGUUGAGGGUUGCGCCGAUGGUGGAGUUUGCUUACAACAACUCCUACCAUCACAAAACAGGGUAGCUCCGUUAGAGGCCUUGAUUCAAUCAAGACUGACACAGAAGAUAUACCACAAGACAUACAAACCAACAGUCUUUGGUCUUUUAUUAUCUAUUCUAACAAUGGAUACGCAAGGGGUGCCUCCCAAAAGCGCUCUUUCUUUUUCGUCUUUGAGCUAGACGAUACCUGGAUUACGCUCCCCAACUUAGAACCUCCUUGAAUUCCAUUAACUUCUUUAAGGAUUGGAGUUGAAUGCCAAGUAGCACCUUUAGAGAGAGAUGGAGGAGUCGCAGCGGUUGUGCACAACAACUUCGCAACGGUUGUGCACAACAACUCUUUCCUUGUUGCGGCUUCCUCUUUGGGGAUGUGUAUGCUUGAGGAGGAUAGAGGUAGGUUGGUGAGUGAAAAUCGAGCUCACCUCAACAGUCGAAGCACCAAAUUCCUGUCAUACCUCCUGAGCAAUAGCAACAAUCUGACAUGAAUAACGACAUAAUAACUUGGAUUAGGAUUUUUAGAAUGAGCAAUAGCAACAAUCUUACUGCUUAAGCAGUUAAGCUUAUCUCAACAAACGUUACUCGAAGCUGCAAAUUCAUGUCUUGCCUCCUGAGCAAUAGCAACGAUCUAAAAUAUAUAUGAACAAAAUACAUUAGAUUAGGGUUUCUAGAAUUGAAGAACAAAAUAAGAAAGGAACUAUCUAACUUACCCGUACGGAGCCAAUGAAGAAAUCCCCAAAAAACAGCAAUUAGAGUUUGUUGCUUUCUGAAUUUUUCUCGAUGAACGGAAGAACUCCAGAUGAAAAAUCCUAAAAUUAGUCAGCUAGUUAUAGAUACAGAAGUAUGAAACGAUUACUGAAGGUAAGAAUCGAAAUAUUAUCUUGAUCUAGGGCAGAAAUCACAUGCAUGCACGAUUCUCCUAGAAAAUGUGUCGAUUGAGGCAUUUUCGGUGGCCGAAGGAUGGAUUAGGAAUGAUUUAUGAUGAUAUUGAUCAUGCAAUUGAAGAUUUUGGAGAGAAAAAGGCUGAAAAUGUGGAGAAAUCGUAGGUAUCGAAGAUUUCUCGUCGCUUUGGUUGAGAGAGAAUGUCAGAUCGGGAGAAAAUUCGAGAAGAACUUAAGAGGGGGUUGAAUGCGGCGGAAACUCGCAACUAAAAUCCUAAACAAUGGUUUUUAUACCAUGCCCAAACCAACGUCGUUUUGCUAUCGGUUUGGGGAUGGGUCGGUUAUCUCAAUAACCAUAACCGUCCGUCGCUCGAAUUUGGCGGGCCUCGGGUGUGCCCAAACCCGAUAAAAACCCACAAUUCAUGAGCAAAUCAUAUAAUUCGGACGGAAUUCAACGAAUAUUCGAAAACCAUUGAGCAGGCGGCCAAACCUUGAAAAACAAAACCAAAAAGAAAUUACAGUGAGAGUUUUCUCUUCGGAUCACAAUUUCAUUUCAGACACAUAAUAUAAUAAAUAUUCGUAGAGGAAAAAGGUACAAACAAAGAGAAAAUAAUAUGCCUCAUCAACGAAUAGCCAAAGGCUAGCCAAGAAAGAAGCAGCUUUCCCCCCUCCUCACACACCCACCCACCCGGUCGAGUCACGCUGGGUCUUCCAAGACGACGACGACUCCGUGAUUGAUGAAGAAGACGAGGAUUCCUUUCCCAACCGUCAUACUGGAUUGGAUUCCGACGACGACGACGACGACGAAGAAGAUAAUGCAGAACAGCGCCUGAUCCGCACCGGCCCUCGGAUCGAUUCCUUCGACGUUGAAGCGCUUGAGAUCCCAAGUGCCCAGCGAAAUGAGUACGAGGUGUGUCCCAAUGUAUAUUCAGUACCUUCUCUUUUUCUUUAUUCUACGAAAUUCAACAUUGAUACUUUGCUAGGAAGUGCGGAUAUCGUGACCGGUGACUGGUGUAGAGUUCUAUCCGAGUUUAUGAUUGGAUUGUAUCAAGUACUACUAUCUUUCUGGAUCUCUGAGAUUGGAAAUCUGCUUGAUUUUGAGGAUUGUGGAUGUUGAAGCUAUCAAUCUUUUUUCUCCGUUUUGUAUUCCUCUUUACUUAUAAUUAUUAUGCUUAAAUUUGGCCAUCUGAAUGUAUUUAUUGUCCUAUUAGCUUACCCUACUCCAUUCAGUUUGAAUCUUGGUUCUUUUUCUAGAAAUCAAUUCCAGGAGAGGAAUUGUUCUCUGUCAGUAACGUUGCACUUUUCUCUUUUACUACAUGGUAGAAAAAUAAUGGACAUUUGUUUACAGAAAAAAGCUAACUUUACUUUUCUUUAUAACGAUUCAACUUAAUUGCAGGAUUUCAGCAUGAGCAGGAAGUUUAUUCUUGCUUUGCAGACACUUGGUGUUGUAUUUGGUGAUGUUGGAACAAGUCCCUUGUACACAUUUGAUGUCGUUUUUACAAAAGCAUCGAUUAGUGGAGAAGAAGAUGUACUGGGUGCAUUGUCAUUGGUCCUAUAUACGUUGAUCUUAGUACCUCUUCUCAAAUAUGUCAUGGUUGUUCUUUGGGCAAAUGAUGAUGGAGAAGGUGUGUAACUUGUAAUUGUCUCUUGCUCUGUUUAGGUUACCCUUCCUUUGCAAUUCAAAUUUUCAUAUCUUGUUAAUGAAAAAUUCAUAUAUCAAUUACCCACAAUUCCCCUCCAAUGCUGCAGGAGGUACUUUUGCUUUGUACUCGUUGAUUUGCCGGCAUGCUAAGGUCAGUCUUCUUCCAAAUCAGCUCCCUUCAGACACUCGUAUUUCAAGCUUCCGGCUGAAGGUGCCAUCUCCAGAGCUGGAGAGAUCAUUAAAAAUCAAGGAAAGGCAAGAGAAUUCACUAACUCUGAAAAAGCUACUGCUGAUUUUAGUGCUUGCUGGUACUUCAAUGGUGAUUGCUGAUGGAGUUGUUACUCCAGCGAUGUCAGGUUUUAGUCCCCUCUCUCCUUAAUCAUCCUCUUAAUCCAUAGGAGUAUGCUAAUACCUUGACUUACAUGUCCGAAAGUUAGUUUUGGUUGUGACACUUGAUUCUCCUGUUGUGAUCUCCGGACAAUGCAGUGAUGUCAGCUGUUGGUGGUUUGAAGGUUGGAGUAGCUUCAGUAGAGCAAGGUUAGAUAAUCGUCGGAUCCCCUAGUAUUUGCUUCUUUGUUGAGAUUAUAGGUUCGACUGUUCAUAGUCUAUAAUUUCACUUAUACUUUGUGGUGUUCAAAGUCACUUCUCUUUCCUUUAGGCUUCUUUGUGACUAGCUUACGGUCUCUGUUUGCCGCUGCUACCAUGACUUUAUGUAUGUAUAUUGCAGUGAGCCAAGUUUGACUUCUACUUUUCUUUUUUGCAGACCAAGUGGUGAUGAUUUCCGUAGCCUUUCUUGUAAUUUUGUUUAGUUUACAGAAAUUUGGUACAAGCAAAGUGGGACUUGCUGUGGGUCCUGCUCUAUUUGUAUGGUUUUGUUCUCUAGCUGGCAUUGGGAUUUAUAAUCUUGUCAAAUAUGACAACAGAGUAUUAAGAGCUUUCAAUCCUGUUUAUAUCUAUUACUUCUUCAAGCGGGAUUCAGCAAAGGCCUGGCGUGCUCUUGGAGGUUGCCUUUUAUGUGCAACUGGUAAGGUUAUCUUUUGAAUUGGCAGGAUGAAGUUCUUAUUUCAUUAGCAAUGUACAGAGAUCAUAUUUGAUUUUAUUUAUUCAAUCAUUGUUUUGAAUGAUUACCAUUGUCAGCUUCUCCUUGUCUGUAAAGAGAAGAUUACUUUAGUUCUUAUUCAAGAAUAAAGAAAAACAUUUUGUCUCCACAUUUACCAUUCUUCAUUAACUUUUUGCAGUCACUUUUUGCUACUGACAGAGAAUUUUUUACAGGUUCUGAAGCCAUGUUUGCGGAUCUUUGCUAUUUUUCUGUAAGAUCAAUCCAGGUAAAGACGCAAGUACAAAUUUUAUUUUGCGUCUGAUAUUCUAGUCUUUUGGAACUUUUGUAAGUUAUAUUCCUAUUGCUUUCCUUGCUUUAGCUCUAAUCCAUUUAAUAGUGGUCAAUUGCAGCUUACUUUUGUAUUGCUUGUGUUGCCUUGCCUUUUGCUGGGUUAUUUGGGUCAAGCUGCAUAUUUGAUGCAAAAUCAUACCGAAGUUCUGGCUGAACAGGCUUUCUUUUCUUCGGUUCCAAGUGAGGCCUUUUCUGCUGUUAAUAUUAUAGCCAUAUUGCGACUAUUGUAUUUACACUGUCUCAUGUUUUCUCAUUACAUUACGUAGUGGAACUGAACAUUUUUCCUUCUUGUGAUUUACUUUUGUGGCUUCAAACUAAUUAGCCUUCUUAUGUUUUUAGGUGGUGCUUUCUGGCCUGUAUUCCUUAUUGCCAAUUUUGCUGCAUUAAUUGCAUGUCGAGCAAUGACAACGGCUACAUUUUCUUGUAUAAAACAGUCAACAGCACUUGGUUGUUUCCCGAGACUUAAGAUUAUUCACACUUCUCGAAAGUUCAUGGGUCAAAUAUAUAUUCCAGUCAUAAACUGGUUUCUACUGGGGAUGUGUCUAGUGUUCGUCUGCUCUAUUCAAAGCAUAACCGAGCUGGGAAAUGCAUACGGUAAUACCUAACAUUUCCUCAUUUUUAUCACUCUUUAUGUUUUUAAACGGAUAAAAUGAGUGAAGGGGGUAGGGUUUGUGAGAAUCUCUUCGUCAUCUUACUUUUUACGUAAUUGAGGCAAGAAUAUAUAUGCAACUCCCUAAUAGCAGUCCUACCUAAAGUAGCAGAUCUUCUAGGUUAGACUUACUAUAUUAGCUAAGCACCAUAUGACUAACAUAGUCAAUAAGGUAGCUAGGAUAACUAUACACGGUAAAUCCUAGACUUCUGAAUUCUAGCUGAUUUAUCCUUUUAUCUUCCUUGUUUUCAGCAUAUUCACCGACUUUUUAUUACAGGGAUUGCCGAGCUUGGGGUGAUGAUGAUGACAACCAUUUUGGUGACGCUUGUUAUGCUUCUAAUCUGGCAGAUAAAUAUCUUGGUUGUUUUCAGCUUUCUUGUUAUCUUCCUGGGAAUUGAAUUGACAUUUUUCUCAUCGGUUUUGAGCGAUAUGGGAGAUGGAAGUUGGAUAGUAUUGGUGUUUGCUGGAAUUAUGUUCCUUAUCAUGUAUAUUUGGAACUAUGGAAGCAAGCUCAAAUAUGAAACUGAAGUGAAACAGAAGUUGUCUAUGGAUUUGAUGCGGGAAUUAGGUUCCAAUCUGGGAACAAUUAGGGCUCCUGGAAUUGGGUUGCUUUACAACGAGCUGGUGAAAGGAAUACCUGCAAUAUUUGGUCAUUUUCUGACAACUCUUCCAGCAAUUCAUUCAAUGAUCAUCUUUGUGUGUAUAAAGUAUGUCCCAGUCCCAGUUGUACCUCAAAGCGAAAGGUUCCUUUUCCGUCGAGUCUGCCCAAAAGGCUACCAUAUAUUCCGUUGCAUAGCCAGGUAAUCUGCUGGAUUCGGAUAAUCAUGUCUAAAUUUGAUUGUAUGGUGCUUUUGCCGCUGCCGAAAAUGCUAUUGCAAAUGUCCCUGAUAAUAGCAUUUGUCAAUCACAUACAUUAAGGUGUAGUCUUUACUCCCAUCCCACACUGCUUCCUAGAAUUCCAGUGUGUUUUCUGUUUGAUGGACCCAGUUGAAGUAAUUAGGUCUUGUUAGAGGUAUAUAGGAAUUGUGUUAUUUGUUCAAUGCUUGAUGUUAUUAUCCUCGUCGGGUGGUGAUGUGUUUCUUAUUGCAUAAUCAGGUACGGGUACAAAGAUGUGCGGAAAGAGAAUCACCAGGCAUUUGAACAGCUGUUAAUUGAGAGUCUGGAGAAGUUCAUUAGGAGGGAGGCGCAGGAGCGGUCGCUGGAAAGUGAGGGAGAUGAUGAUACAGAGUUGGAAGAUGAUUACAGUAACACUAGAGUAUUAGUGGCUCCAAAUGGAAGUGUGUAUUCGCUUGGUAUACCCCUUCUAGGAGAGUACGAGGAAACAAGUAGAAAAAGUGUUGUUUCAGAGGGGAGCACUUCUUCAGAGGUAGUGAAAUCAGAUGCGGUGGUUGAUCCUGAGCAGAGUCUUGAGAGUGAGCUAUCUUUCAUUAGAAAAGCUAAAGAAUCAGGCGUGGUUUAUCUUCUUGGACACGGUGAUAUUAGAGCAAGGAAGGAAUCGUGGUUCAUCAAGAAGCUAGUGAUUAACUACUUUUAUGCUUUCUUGCGAAAGAACUGCAGAAGAGGGAUUGCCAAUUUGAGUGUUCCUCACUCAAAUCUCAUGCAGGUUGGCAUGACAUACAUGGUUUGAGACUUUUGAGUUGUGGUUUGUGGGGUUUAUUUCCCUUUUUAAGACUCUUUACAACAAAUUAUUUUGGCCUCAGAUGGAACUUUGAUUCUUGCUACCAACCAAUGUAUGUAUGUAUGCAUGUUUGUAGACACCCUCGCACUGCCGGAGAACUCACUUGAAUGCGAGCGAGAGAGCGAGAGAGCAUGAGCAUGAGCAUGAUCAUAGUUUUGAUUUCUAACUGCUAGACAUGUGUACCAAAGCAUUUGUGAAUUCCAAAUUAUAUAUAGAAAGUUACAGAUAGCAAACAACUGAACUAAAAUGAUCAAAUUAGGGUUAAUAGAGAUUGUAAGUUUGACACCAGAGCCAAGGCAACAAACACCACCCAUCCCCUACGCCCUCUGAACAUAUUCGUCUCUCUUUAACUGCUAAAUUCAAUGAAAUGUUACAAGUCACAAGAAAACUCAGCCCCAAAUUUGCCAGCUUGAACCACCACUCCAACUCAGCAUAGUUACCUGCAAAAGGCAGAAAUAAGUAUUAGCAGCUGUAUAUUAUUGCCAUUUAUCAUGACUGACUUAGAUAUGUAUAUAUUAUUAUUAUUAAGCGCAGGACAUGCCUAUAUUUCUGGAUCCAGAAACAUGUUUCUAAGCAUCUCCUUCAACAGCUUCCUGCGCACCUAUAACCCAACAAAACAUAGUUUACAUAUACAGAGGCAGGUUAGAGGAAAGAAUCAAAACCAUGUCCUUUCUUCAGAGGUUGGGAAACGGUCAAUAUGGUAUUUGUUACAAUAAGUUACCAGAGACCCUUAUGGAAAAAAGUAUUAUCAAGCAAGCAAGCUUGAAAAGUUAUUACCUCGAGGGUUUGAUGUGAAACCACAACUAGUGAGGUGCUUAGCAAGUGCAUCACCAAGUUGCUUUUGCCAGUCCGGGACUGCUUUUGCUUCAGAGACAACCCACACUGUUGCUGUCUCCGUUGAAAGAUCCACAUUUGCACAAGACACUUGUGGCUGCACAACACACUGUUAAUAGUCUACUCCUAAAUCCUAGCUUAACCAAGUCAUAGAGAUCCCUAGCAACCAACCUGAAUCAUCUAUCUAUCUACAAGUUGGUUAUUUGGACAACUUACUUGGCUUUCCAGUAUCUUCUUGACGCUGGCUACACAUCCUCCACAUGUCAUCCCCUGCUCCACCAACAAAUGGACAUCCCCCAAGGGCUAACUUGUUAACCAAAACCACACAUUCAAUUAUCAAUCUGAAACAUCAACAGAUUCUUACUCCAACAUGAAGUAUGAUAACAUCCGACGACAAUGUUGAGCCCUCCUCCACUCCACCACCAGGUUUCACAUCUCCACCGUCCGAUCCUCCGCAGCCACCCUCACCGGCGUCGCUGCCCUCAUCACCACCACCGCCUCCGCCAGAUUCAGCCGAUUUAGGAAAGCAGUGGCGAUGCGACAAGGAUAAGGCUAACCGCUUCCCAGGAGGUUCACUAGCAGAAGAAAGGAAACAAGACUUGCUGUACCCAACGGGAUAUGUCCUCAGAAGUGGACGGGUGUUGAGAUUAUUUAGGGAUUUGGAGAUUGUGAAGAGGGAUAGAGUGGUUGGUGCGGAACAAGCCUCCAUGGCUCUGUGAAUCAAAGAAAGGCGUCAGUUGGUUGUUCAAACCCAACUUCCAACAUAGCUAUAAAUUUAGGUGGGGCGGACACUACUCUGUGUUUUUUUUAUUGGAAUCAGAUAUUUUCCAACUCACAUUGUAAAAUCGAAAUAAACUUGAUGAGACAAUCAUUCCAAAAUAUCAAAAUAAAAUAAGAUAGAUUUUUGUGCAUUGUACAUCACCAGCUUGUCAAUCAGUUCAUCAAAGAGAGGUUUAUGAAGAGAGGAAAUUGCUAGUAUUCGCCUUCGGCACUAUUCGUAGAUACAACCGUUUGCUUCUCGGUUCUAUACGUAACCAAGUUUUCCCGCACAUAACUACAAUAUCCAGUUGUGGAUUUGAGUUCGGCGAGUUCACUAGCCCAACUCGCAUAUGUGUAAAUAGUUAUGUUGCAUUGACUAGUUUUCCUGAACAAAAGCCAUUUUCUCUAUGAAAGUUUCGUAUAUCUGAGAAUGCACACGAUCAUUUCCAUAUGCUCCUCAUUCGGAUCACGUAUGUGUCGGCUUACCAUGCCUAUAAAAUAUUAGAUAUCAGGAAAAGUAUGCGCUAAGUAGAUCAACUUUCCCAUGUUUUGUUGAUACCCACAUUUGUCAACAUAUGACUGACAUGCUUCACGGUUUAGCUCUGUGUUAGGUUCCAUAUGAGUAACAAUGGGCAAGCAGCCCAACAUUGUUUCUUUGAGCAAAUCACUUACAUAUUUUGUAGAAUUGAUGGAAUCCACCUCUCUGUACCAAAUCAGGGAGCCCUGGAUUCAAGGAGUCAAGGAUGUACAAAGGAAGGCAAUAAGGAGUUCAUGGAAGUUGGGAAACUUAAAACACUUGGAGGAAGGAUCUUGCACGAGGAAGCAAAGGCCAUACUCGACCCGAUCAACCACGACAGGUUUAUCCUUGAAGAAGAGUAAAUCCACCAAGAAUCACUGAAGUCAGCCCAUGGCAUUGAUGUUGACAUCCGCACCAACAUCAACAUCACGACACCCAAAAAUCAAGAUUUGUAAAAACGGGGGAUCGAGCCAACUUUUUAUGCACUAUCUUUGAAGUAGAGGAGGCACUCCCCUGAGUUUGGGAGCAUUCAGAGCUGAAACGGAUUCGAAGGUGCGAAGUUGUUCGAAAUCGGAUCCUUCGAUUUCAACGAAAUUCACCAAUUCACACCUUACCCCAAACAGAGCAAAUUUUUCCCGCACCCUCUCUGAACCAGAAGCAUAAUGGGCUAUUUGGAGAUCAUCUAAGGCGUUGGGAGCAAGAAAAACUGAGCUUGGAGUCCAGGCCCAUGAGUGGACUCACUACGGUGAAGCCGGAGCUUAUGAAAUGAGGCCUCUUCAACAAUUUUGAGGUUGGACCAGUUUAGAUUGCACCAUAUCUUCAUCAUAAACGUAGAGGGCUGUCAUGAGUGUAUCCGAAGCCCAAAACCAGGCCAUCUACCCAUCCAGAGGCGCACGACUUAAUUAGCCCAUUCGAAGCUUAAUUAGGCCCUUUUAUCCGUUCGUCGUAUUUAUACAAAAUUCCCACCUACCCCUUUUCUUUGGGGUUUUAAACUUAUAUUAGGCUUAGUUAUCCAUAACGCCUCCUACCAUAGAGUUCUUUGGGUAUUUUGAAAAGCACAUAGAGUUGUUUGUUAAAAAAGAAGACCCAAUCUUAUUGCCCCUGGUCAUUAAUCAGUAAGGAUCCGCCAAAGCAAACGUCCACAUCUACUGAAAGGCACCAAAGAUAGAGAGUGUGGCUAACAAAAGCUGCUCCCCAACAAAAUUCCUCCUAUUCCUUGUUUUUGCUACAACAUUGUAUGUUAGUUAUAUUUUCAUAUACACACCGAAAAUGAUGCAACACAGUUUUACCCGGAAAAAAAAACAAAAAUAACAAGGGAUCUCAUAAUCUAUAUCUACAAAGUUGAGGGCAGCAUCAGUUCAUCUUCACAAUACUGUUUUAGUCGAAUGCUAGUGACAUGAAAGUAUCAUCGUCCAAAAGCGAGUCGAAAUCUAAUAGUUGUUUGGAACUCUCUUCGCCUUGGCCUUCUUCCGUUUCGUCUUGAGGGUUGUUAAGAAUGCUACUACAUGCCUGAGAACAACAGUCUUCAUUCAGUUCAGGCAUAUCAAUCAUUUAACAUUACAAUUAAUUAAUGUGUGGUAGCUACGUCUACCUGGUUUUCCCUGAGUCCUUCAACGACAGUAAGAAGCCUUCUGUAUUGAGCUCGUCCGUUGGGAUCAUGAAACAUGGAUUUGACCCUGUUUAGUGUUUUUUCUACCCUUUCUUCAUUCUGUUUCCUUCCUUCCUUGAGAUAAUCGUAGUCGUCAUCCUCCUUUGGAUGCACAUUUUGUGGACUGGAGGAAUCCUCUACCAUUGCAUCCCUUCGGAAUCCACGCAACCCACUUCCUUUACGUCUCCACCUCAAUAUUAUCUUCUCCAAUAUUCCCACUGACCAAACCACUGUUUUAUACUGUUUCCUCACCUGAUGUCCUCUAAUAUGUGCCUUGAUGCAAUCAAUCAAAUCUCAGCCUUAAGCCAAAAACUUAACAAAAAACCAUGAAGAAAGAAAAAAAGAUAGAAAGAUACCUGGAUUUUAACAAUUCUCUGCCUGAUAAUCAGAAAUUCCUUCCUCUUCUUCCAACCACGGAAUUUCUUUUGGAUUUGGGUCGCAGCAGCAUGAGCCUUUCCAUUCGAGUACACUGGUCUGCGAGAAUUCCCUGCUAGAAGAGAUAGGGCGUGCUCAUCUGACAAACCAAAUUCAUCACUCUCAUGCUCUUCACUCAAUUGUUUUCGCUGGAAAGACUGCAUCCUGAAUACUUGAUAUAUCCUAUUAGCAGCUUGCGUAGCGUUACGUAUAGCAGUAAGUGAAUCCUUUAGUGACAAUGCAUCUGGAACAUCAUUUCCAUUCAAUGGAGUCGCUGUUCGCUCUUCAAUUGUCUGCACAACAUUUUCCCCAUCUUCCUUCUGCUCUUUCACUGUUAGGGUUGAUAGGUAGCUGGUCAAAAAUGACUCCGCAAGAAAGCCAGAGAUGCCUUUGUGUCCGUUCCCAGAGGCAAGUUCAGCUGCAGUUCUACCAGACGGGAAUUCAGGAGAUGGAUCUGUCAAUGCCCCAGGAGCAGCACGCCAUGAUACAAGGACUGCAACUGUCUGCUCCCUGAAUUUAAGAUCGACAAGAUUGUUAAGAAUUGUUUUGACUAUUUACAACCAAUUGCAUAAGCAAGCUAAUCACACAUGGGAACAGAUCAGGCCCUCAAUAACCAACCAAGGCUUCUCAGGGAUUUUCUUUCUAAGUUCCACCACAAGCACCGAUAAGCAUACUUUCCACAAAGAACAUCGGUUAUUUGGACAAUGCCAUAACAUGUGAUGAUAGCUACAUCUACCCAAAAUAAUAGAAGUGCGAUAACAUGUAAUACUGUGUUCAUACCUGCCACAGUAAGCAGCCCAAUGAAGGGCAGUCCAUCCAUUUACAUCACGGAAAUUGAUGCUCACUCCAGCAGCCACAGUUGGCUUUAUGGCCCAGUCCCAACCAAGCGCAGCAGCUAAAUGUAGGACACCUUGCCCAUCAUCAUCCAAGACACAUGGUCCCUUGCCACUCUCUAGUACCUUAUGAAGAAGCCAUGCAUACAGCUUUUCUUUAAUAAGCUUGUAUAGAAGUUUGCUUUUAACUUCAACAUGAGACAAACUUUCUUCAGAGGUUGGCUCUGUCAUUUGGUGAUUGUCAUCUUCCUCCUUCAGCAACAAGAUUUUUCGAACUAACUUCUGUUUUGCUCGAGCAACAUCAAGGGUAUGACUCAUCCCUGUGGAAGUUUUGACUGACAACAACUUCUCAAGUCGUAGAUGAAGCCACAUUUCAGGAGUAUUACCUCCAUAUACAUCUCUAACAUUGACAUCUCCUACUGAGUUAACAAGAUAAUCAAAUUCUCGCACUUCACUGCAAGCCACCCUAUUCGAACAUGUAACAUAAAGUGGAACCCUGGCAAAACCAUGAGGUGGAGCAAAGCAACAAAGAACCCCAUCAGCCAAAACCUCAGCUCGAACUUCUACUUCUCCGAACAUGCAAGACCAUUCGCACUUUUGGACCUCUUCUUGACUCUUCAAGAACAUUCCAACGAUGUGAACCUGCUCAGAGAAAAAGACGGGAAAAAAGAAAUAAAUAUCAAUUGUUGCAAUCCCAUAUAUUCAAUAAGCACAACCGUAAAAAGAGGAAUCAAAGUAAUCCAGAAGUCAGAUUAGAAAAGACUACAAUAAAACAGGAAAUAAUUAUUUUCUACUAAGUUCUUCAUUCCAACUUAUUUUUCCUCUUCAUCUCCAGAUAAAUUGUAUCAUUAAACAUGCGAAUAUUGAGGACCUUCUGAACCACAUGAAAAAACUACUAACUAACUAGAGGGUAUGCUGCUCAAUAUCCAAAUGAAUAGCAAGACAAUACAUUUCCACAGGCAUGAUCAAUUGACUGAUUGAAGUUCAACACGUAGAAUUGCAAGUAACAGUACAUGGCAUACCUCUGUCCCUGAGUCUGCAUACGCCCACUUAGGUGAAAAAUCCAUUAUGCUGAAAAGCUGGUCUUGUGACAAAGAGGGACUCAAAACCGACUCAUCAGCUACAUUUCCACAUUCAACGUUGCUCCAUGCAAUGCCAGAUGAGGACUUCAUAUUUAAAUCAUCCACUUCUCCAAGUUCCUUACUAACCCAUCGAGAAAAGCUAUCAACUUUCUUCAAGCCUUCUUCACCCAACAAGGGUUUCUUUGCAAAUAAGGCAUAUCUUCCAUUUCCUUCUGCAGCUCCUUCAACUGGGAGAUAUGAGCCUGUAGCAUACUGCAGUUCUGAAUUUAGGAGCUCUAUGUGGAGGUUGUUAUGUAAAAGUUGGUCAUGUUGCUGAAGGGACCCAGUAAAGUAUGGCUCCAACGUGUUAUGCGUGCCAAAAUCCUGUGUUCUCUGAUCAAAUAACCUCGUGCCAAAAUCGUAUGCCAGAUCCAAAUCUGAUGUUGCGUCCAUCCCAUGCGGAAAGUGCAACGAACUAUCACCGGCAGGAAUCUUGAAAAACAAAUAGGUGUCAACACUAACGGAAAACAUACUCACUUAUCAGCACAAUAAGAACCAGGGAAGCAGGAAAAAUAAAGCACCACAAGUUGCAAACACCCAGUGCCAAGAAUAAUUUAACAUAUAUGAUGCAAAAGUUAUUUUAGAUAUUUACUUGAUAGAAGAAAUAACUUCAUUUGAACUUUACCAUGCGAAAAAAAAAGAAGGCAGAAAUUUGACAUCCAACUCAAGACAUAACUGAAGAACAACAGGCUAAAGCGUUAGUGAAUAUUUAAUUUCUAUUCAUAUUCAACCAAAGCCACAUUCUUCUCCGAGUCACAUAACAUUCCAGCUUGUGUUAGACACGCUAGACCAGAACCAACCAAACAUAUUCAGAUAAGUGCCAUUAAAACUAAAUAUCAUAACAAGAAAACUGAAAAUGAGUCGGUUGAUUCAGAGCAACAGAAAACAAUUGAAACUACCUGCCAAGUUGAAUGAAUUGGCAAAGAGCCAUCGAAGUUAACUUGGGUGGCACUCCCAGUGGGGGCCGGCUGCAUCAUAUUUGCCCCAACACCAUAAUUACCCAGGUGUGUGGAAUUUAUUGCUGCACGCAAUGGUGUGUUAUCAAAACCUCUUGUAGAUUGUUCAUAAACAUCUUCCCAGGAUGCUAAACCCUGUGAAUUGAUUAUGUUGGAACUACUAUCAUUAAUUCCAGAUCCACUCCCAUGACCGUAUGCAACGGGACUUCCAGGACCUGACACAGAAUCAUCUAUCAUAGGCGUGAUGAGCAUACUACAACUUGAAAGAGGGGUUGUUGGAAAUGCUUACCUGCACGAGAGUGUGACAGAUGAGUACUUGAUGGACCAACAUCCACUUUGUCGAUAGUAACAUUAUUCUGCAGUGGUUGUGGCCUGUAGAAUGAGUGGGUCCCAGUUGUUUGAUGGCUAUCAGCUGCAUUAAAUGGUCCAACACUUCCAAGUAAGAAACAUGGCAUGGUGUAAGACUAACUGUAUGAAUUGAAAGGUACAUAAUAAAUAUUAAUGAAUCAAAAAGAAAGUACCUGAAUCGGCAUCUUCAAAUGCAGAUGAAAGGGUACUUGAUGGACUAACCGAAUCAGUAUUCCCAGAUCUGUUGUGAUUUACGAGGCUGUUUGAUGGGCUGCUGUGUGUCCUGUUACCCUGAUGUAAAGAUGAGAGACCAGCAUAAGCAUACACACACGAGAGAACUGAAAGAAGAGCACAAUGAUCAAACUGUAUUAAUGCUACGGCACAUGGAAGCUCCCAUCCAUCUGUGUUAGCUUGGGUAAUUUAGUCACAACAAAUUCUCUUCAAAUUUCAACAUCUUCCAAGUUUUCAUCUUCUAGUUGUGAUACAAAGCUGCUCUAAUAAGGUUGAUUUAUACUAUCAACCUCUCUGAGAAAUGGAAACCAGGACACAAUCCUUUUUAUGUAGGAAUACCAAUAAUAGUCAUAGGGCAGGGACCUUCAAUUUUUUCAUAAGCAGAGAGAUACAUGAUUUAAAUAAAAGUUUUAAGAGGAAAGGAAAAGCAAACAACCUUCACUUCCAAGUAGUGGACAAAUACUAUAUGCAUAAGUUCCCUGCAAGAUUAUAAGAGCCAUGAGAACCAGAAAGAUCCAAGACGGAAACGUAAAGUAACAAUAGCACAGAGCACUGAAACACAGCAUGCUAGUAACCAUGGAACAUCAAUACUUCAAACGUGUAAGUCAUAAAGAAAGAUAAAAAAUAGCAAAACACGUGCACACGCACAGAGGACGGAAAGAGAGCAAUCUGAUACAAAACCACAUAUACUAUAAUAUUGAGUCUUCCAGCAAAAGGCUCGUCAGUUUGAGAAUAUAACAAUCUGUCAAUAUCUUAUGUGAUACACACAGUGUGAAGGGAGUAAGAAUGCAAAUCUAUCCACAUUGGCUUGGCUUUAUUCAUAAAACUGCAGAAAUAUCACAGGUUCAUUUUAGACCGAGAUAUGAGAUUCAUUUAAUCACUGCUACGUAUUUAAAAUCCUUCCAAACUAAUGCAUAACCUAUAGUAAUAGUGAAAGCAUAGGUUUGUACGCCAGUUUAGACCACACUAGAUGACAAUCACAACACAACAUCAGAUAUUAGUUUUAAUUUUAAAUAACAGCACUAAAGAGAAGGUUCAAAAAUCAAGAACUCCCAAUGUAGGAAACAAAAGGAACAAAUUUGGAAAAAUAACUUCAACUUACUGUUCAAGCAUCCAGUAGCUGCGCCUUUGAAAACUUUCGGUCUCUUCUCCAUGUGCAUAAUAACAGUGCAACACGUCAACACUUCCAACCUAGUAACAAGUAUUUAAAGGUUGUCACUUUUCAGAACAGCAACUCAAGCAGCAAUAUUGUUUACAAUUUUUAAUUUAAUCAGCGGAAAUUUUUUACCACUCUGGAUGAAAUCAAAGAUGAAUUUGACACACUUAUGUACUGCUAUAUUAAAAGCACUACAGUAAGAAUACUAGGACAUAGGACAAAUCCAAACACACCAGAGCAUACCUUCAGUUUCUCAUGAGCUUCCUUGACAGUUUUGCCAUCCUUUUUCUUCCUCCAAUUAUGUCCAUCCUUUCGAAAGUAUCUCAAGACUUUCCGGUCAAAGAGAAAAAGAGAACCACCUGGCAUGGUGAUGAAUAUGUCAAUCUAUAAAUUGAAUAAAAAGAAUAAGCUCAAUACAUAAUGCAGAAAAGGUAAGAACUGAGUGUUAUUCCAAACACAACAUUCAGGACUAAGUGUUAUUCCAGGAAGCACUGUAAUAUUGUGACAAUUUUGAAUAAUCUUACUUGCUGGCUUGUUUGGAGGUUCUGUUGAAAUAUGGAAUUUUUCGUAAUUACGGAGUAUCUCACAAAUUUCAGCAGGACGCAACCAUCGGUGCUGUGCUUCAAUAAACAGUUGUUGGAUGUCUGCAAGUCAAGAAGAUAGUAUUAGGAAAGGGGAAUCUGUGCAAUUAAGUGCUGAGAAAGCACUGUUGACUGCUGACAACCAAACAAAACCAGUACAUCCCAAGUAUUAUUAGACGUAGACUUGUCUGAAAACUGUAGCAUGUAAUCUUAUGAAAGUACAUGUGCUAAACGACAGUGGCAAAGUCAUCAGCCAGGGUGAUGGCAAUAAGAAGCAACUCUACACACAGACACACCCAGCCACGCAGACACCAGAAAUUUGACAUUCCUUUCCAGUCACUUCCACGUUUCUCUACACAUAUAAGCAAUCACAUCAACUAUGACGCAAGUUAAGCAGUGUUGGUGCCAGCCUAUAGUCGUUUGCUUGUGCCAAAUAACAACUAAACAAUACAAUAUCAUCCUUCCCCCCACUUACUAUAUAUGCAGUAAAGAAGUCCAAGAACAGGAACAAUCCAGUUUUUUGUUUUACAAAGCUAGAGAGAGUUUGAAAGAACCAAGAUAUCACUAAAAAUUACAAAUGGAAUAGCUACAAAGACAGAUGGAAUUGUCUCUCUAACAAUCACGAUGAAUUACAUAGCUUGCAGGGACAAAGAUGCAGCACAAUGAACAAUCGUUAAAGUAGGUUUGAAGGUUCCCCUGCAUCAUUUCAACUUCGCUUCACUAGCUGCAUAUCUCGUUAACUAUCAGCAAGUAAAAGGAUAUCAACAUCAGAAUGGAGCCCGCAGAUAAUUACCGCUUGCCCAUUCUGCCCAAUUGACACAAUAUGAAAAGCAAACGGUGGUGUAAAAUUGUAACCACAAAAACCAGUUAGGUCAAAGGAAUCCUAAGAACGAGUCACUAGUUGAGCUCCGAGUUCAUCUAGAUUAGCCAAAAACAUUUCUGAACUCUAUAGCUUUUCUAAAUGAUACAGCACCGGCGAGGCUAACAGCCUCAGCUCCAUCCAAAAAAAAGCCCCAAAAUUUAUCACCUGGAACAAACAAGAAAUCCUAACAGUGGGACGCUUCUCAGUGAAGUAAGCUAGAGUUAGCCCACCAAUCAAUCAAACUGGUCAAAGACUCCACAAGGAAACGAAAAUCAGAGUUGCAGCAAGCAACCGGAUCUAUCCAAAGAAAACGAUCAAACACAAUUUCAUGAACCAACGAAAGAAACCAAAAGAGAUAAGAAGAACCUGACCUAAUCGAGGGGCCAGUCCAAACGAUCCACGAUCCGCCAUGUGAAAGAGAGAACAGGAAAGAAAAAGGGAAUCGGGAAGCGAUUCAACCCAAUCAAAGAUAAAGAAGAUGGGAUUGUACAGGAGUCGGACGGAAUUGAAGAGUAUCAACGAAGAGGAGAAGGGGGAAGAAUACACUAAAGUUCUAUAUUUUAUUCCUUCCUUCUGUAGGAAAGUUCAGUGAAGCAGCUUCCGCUCCUUUUAGUGAAUGAUGUUAAUCGCCAAGAACGACUCCGAUUCUCAGUCAUGGAAUUAAACAUCGAUAUCAAGCAUCAAUCUGGGCUCUUGAAUCCAGCAUCAUCUAAAGGCUUAGAUCAAUCAGGGACAAAAUAGUCAUACACAGUUAUAUUUAAAUAACUUUUCUGGUCCAGAACCCAUCCAACUCAGGCCCCCUGAUCCAACCACCAUAUCCAGUCACUGAAAAAUUUCCUGAUGUCUAGUCCUAUAAAUAGUCACACACUAGUUGUUGAUGAAAUUUUGUUCACUCGCGUGAUCAUUAUUACCAGCUUUACAAUCUUGGAAAAAUUUUACUUGUUUUUGAAAAAAUCCUCGGUGACCGGUCGUAUAAUUUAUACGAGGGUUGCACAAAUCAAUACAAAGUACACGUUUGUACGGGUUUGUACACGGUCAUACGAAGUAUAUAAAACUGGAUUACACAUUUGUAUAUACAAGCUUGUAUGUAUACUUUAUAUUGACUUGUUUAUGAAACGUGUAUAAAAUAUUCCACAUUUCACACUAGGAGUAGGUUAGAUUUGGACCAUUAAGGAUCAUGUAGGCAUAUCGCAGAGUGGACAUGUUACCUUCAUUCAGUGGUAGUGUUAUUAUCCACUGAAAUGAUUUGAUUUGAAAUGUGGGAUGUGAUUUGAAAUGUAGUAGAAAUGUGUAGGAAUUUGUUGAUUUUGCUGUUUGAAUGGUAUGUGGUAGUUAUACUUAUAGAUUACUCAUGCCAAAUUUUUUGUAAACUUAGGUAAUUUUGUUUUUCUUUUGUAGGUCUUUGAUAGCUCUAACUCAUAGAAGUCUACAUCGACUUCUAAGUUCGUUGAUAGUGGUUGAUGGAGCAGUUCCGUCGAUUUUCUACAGGGGUAAUAAGCAUCAUUAACCGACUUGUGAAAAACAAUCUGAAUGCCCCCCAAGUUAGCACAAGAUGUCUGCCGCUUCCAAAAUAAAUUUGUACAAUCAACGAAAAAAUAAGAAAGAAUUGGCUGAGUAGGCUUGUCUCGGAUGAGCAUAGUUCGAAUAGCCUGUCAUAAGGGUAAAGCACACUUCCAUCAAAAGAGGAAAGUAGGAACGGGAUUUUCAGGGCUUCUGUCAUAAGUUCAUUACCAGGUUUGAAUCGUGAAUUUAUGUCUAAUAGCCCAAGAGCUAGUACAUUACUUGAUAGAUACAGUUUCCGGCCCCAGGGGAGUUUACUCGACCCAUUCCCCAGUCUCCCGCACUGCUCAAGUAAGUGUGCGACUCCGUAUGAGGACCUCCUUCCCUUCUGCCCACUCUCCGUUCACACGGUUCAGGAAUUUAUCUGUUCGAAAUAAAGCUACAAGCUAAAGGAAGUUCCACAAUCAAAGAUGGCGGUAGAACUGCUAGCAAGAGGUGCCCAGAUACCAUUAACAAGCUCAUGAAUUAAUCUUAAGUCGCGGUCAUGUCUCGCCUCCCCAGUAUAGUGACCGGUAUUCUUUUCCAUUUGGUAAAUGGGUUUGGGUCAUCAUUUUCAAGAUGUUAGGACAUGAUCCGUAGAUGUUCUUUUCUGAAAAAUUCAUAGUAAGAUCUUCAAUAUUCUUUUGUAAUUGAUACAUUUGUUUAUCAUCAUCCUUAUUGUGCUUAUAUUCAUCCGUGAGAUCUUUCAAUAUAUAAGUACAAAAGAAAAAAUAUCAGUCUAAGUAAGAAUCGUGAAUGAAAAAAGCUCUCUUUCCUUCUCUUGAGCCGAGGGAGUAGACUACCUUACUCAACACUCACAGCUUCCUCCAUUACUCCACGUCAUAGACAUAAUUUUUUCUCAUUAGAAUAAGCGAUUUUAUCGACAUUGUUUAAAAAUAUUUUAUCAUUUACAAAUGUUCGAGCUACCACAACAUAUUAAUAAUCUUUAUAAUGUUAAGGAAAUUGUGUAAAUGGACUUGUUAUUUUUUUACUGUCUACAAAUCCAAUAAAGAUCUUACGGCUAAUGGUUCAUGGUCCAUUGAGCAUAGCAGCGGUCUCGUAUCUUUCGGUGGGGUGCGCGCUUUUCUUUCUUUCUUUUCUUUAUAACUUUUCUAUUCCUUUUUCUUAAUGUUGGCUUGUCCUUACGCUUACUGUCUCUCUCUCUCACUCGUCUCUGCGCCAGAAUUGAUUUGUGGUGGUUUUCUUCUUCUUUCACAAAAAAAAUGAUGCCCCCCCCAGGGGAGGGGGGCAAGGGGGAGACAGCGCACCAAGAAAGCAGGCACCUCACAUUCCCGCCAAUCACCAGCUCAACGGCGGCCCAAAACAACCGCAGCUGGCUGCAGUAGCAGUUGAAGCUCCACCUCCUGUGUCUCCAACACCACCGCUUGUUCCUCCUCCUCUUCCUCCUCCUCCAACUACCACCCAGCAUCAACACAUCCACGGCGGAGGGCACCACUAUCGGCACCAGAACCACCCACAGUACAACCCAUACUACCCAUCCUCAUCCACAUCUUCAAAAGCAUCCCUGAAGGGGUGCUGCUGUUGCCUGCUACUCCUCUUGUCUUUCCUUUUACUCCUUGCCCUGGCAAUCGCCCUAGUGGUGAUCCUCGCUGUGAAGCCCAAGAAGCCCCAAUUCGACCUGCAGCAAGUUGGAGUUCAGUACAUGGGAAUCAACACACCAACCCCUUCCUCCUUGGACCCGGCGACGGCAUCACUGUCCCUCACGAUCCGGAUGCUAUUCACCGCCGUGAACCCUAAUAAAGUUGGGAUCAAGUACGGGGAGUCGAGGUUCACGGUGAUGUACAGAGGGAUUCCGUUGGGGAAGGCGUCGGUGGCCGGAUUCUUCCAGGAAGCUCACAGUGAGAGGCAGGUGGUGGCGACGGUGUCUGUGGAUCGAUACAGCUUGAUGCAGGCAGACGCCGCGGAUUUGGUGAGGGAUGCAUCUUUGAACGACCGGGUAGAGCUCAGGGUCCUGGGUGAAGUCGGGGCCAAGAUCCGAGUUAUGGACUUGGAUUCACCUGGUGUUCAGGUUAGCUUGCCUUUCCCUCCCUUUCCAUACUCCUAAUUCCUCAUGGAAAUCAACAUCUGAUUGAUGAUUCAGCUAUUAUUGGGAGAUGCUUGUGCAGGUAUCGGUGGAUUGUGCAAUUGUAAUCAGCCCAAGGAAGCAAUCUCUUACCUACAAACAAUGUGGAUUUGAUGGACUAAGCGUCUAACCAACUAAUGUUUCAUCAUCUUCCUCUUCAUAUAUAUAGUUACAUAGAGAAUUGUUCACAGAAUCCAUUGCCAGUGUUUUCUUCAACAAGGCUUAGAAGAAGAAGAAGAAGAAGAAGAAGUCUUUUUCUUUCUGGGUGGCUUCAUCUUCAUGUAGUAGUUAGUAGUAGUGGUCACAUGGGAUAGGAGUGGGAUGCCAGGAAGGUGGCAUCAGAGAGGAUUUAUUUAUUUAGAUUAAAACAAACCCAAAGACGAAGCUGCUUGCUUUGUCCGUAGCAAGCAAGUGGGAGAGGAAGGGUAACUAAUCAAAGUCUCUAUUGUUUCCCCAUUCUAUUAUUAAUUUUGUUUACUUAGUCCUUAAGGAAAUAUUGACAUGGCAGCCCAGAAAUGUCAUGCUGUUAAAAGGAAGAAGCACUAGACAGUCUGCACUUGACAUUGUUGGUCGCCGAACAAUGUUUUUGUUUACCGGACUACCAUUUUUGUUGGUCGUUGAAAAAUUUCGAGAUUAAUUUUCUAGCAAUUCUAACCUCCGUUGACAACAAAUUUUUUUCCCGUGUGAUCUUCAUCGUUAGAUUUAUGUUUCUCGGAAAUUUCUUAUGUCUGGAAAAAAAUUUGAUGACUCGCCUUAAACUUGUAUAAGGGGUUGUAUGGAAUGUACAAGCAUACGCAUUUGUACAAAGUAUAAUACUAUAUAAAUAUGUUUACACUAAAAUCAUACAAAGUGCAGACAAUAUGUACAAUUUUGUACACAGUUCGUAUAACGUGUAAUAAUGAGUUUAUAUACAUUUUUAUUUUGGCCUUGCGAUAUAACACAUUAGGAGGCAGU
rnacentral:lncRNA from 1 species